ACAGUUUGACAUUUCCCAGGGUGGAGGGCUCUGAUUCAGGUAUGUUUUAUUCAUCCCGUUGGCUUUGCGUUGCUGCCAGGCCAGACUGGUCGUCCGGUCGGAGAGCAGAAGAUACCUGUUGUUGUUGUUGUUGUAUUUGCUGCUCACAGAGCCAGACGCGGGUCUCACACAGCCGGGUGACACUUACAGUGAACAUGCUCAUCCUCCUCAUGCAGGCUGAGGGAUCGGGAGGUACUGCCAGUGGCGGGACGAAACUGUCUAUUUGCUGGAGACACCCCCUUUGUACUCCGCUGCCACGCGCCAUAAGAAGGACGGCGCCUGCAGCCAAAUUACAGAAGACAUCACCUUCUUUCUGUUCCGGCCGUCUGUCUGCACACGAGCAGGAGUUUUUCCCUCAACUGAAAGCAAACUGUUCCCACUGGACUCAAGAGUGUGGAAGAUCGUGAGGAAGGAAGUGGAGGAAAAUGAUGAUGUAAGGCUGACCUGUGAUUUGAGUUUACUGGGGCCGUAACUGGGAUGCGCUAAAUGUUCAGUUAUGUUGCAUCAGUUAGUUGGCAGUUAUGGGCCCUAUGAAAGAAAUUGCAGCCGGGCCUUACACUUUAUUCAUAGUACUGUUGGUUACUUCCUGGUUGGUGGAGUUGGUUAGAGUGCUGGUAAGCCAAAGAUUGUGAGUUCGAAUCUAGCGGUGUGAUAAAAAUUUUCGGUUAGACGGUAGGUAAAAAAAUAAUAACAUAAAAUUUUGUGCUGCAAUAGCCUUCAGGUUUAUAUCAUCACCAACAAAAAUAAAAAAACAUUAAAAAAAAGGUUUUCUCAAGACUUUCAGAAAAAGAUUGGAAACGCUUAGAAAAAAGAAAAAUGUGAAUUAAAGACCGGUCUACAUUGUACACAUAUUAUAAACAUGGGACUGUAUCUUGGAAAAGGGCUGGUUCCCGUGGAGACGAUGUUCAGGAGACAACCGCUCCCCUCAUCUCCAGGCGCGUCACGUGAAGCUGUGAGCGCCGAGCCUCCAGGACAAAGCACUUGGGGCAGGGAGACACUGCAGGCUUUGUUCCUCCUCUGUCUGGCUCCAAGUCAAGUGGGUGUUUGCUUACUGGGAGAACCAGGACCCCCCCCAGGAUUGAGACGCAGCCGACAGCCUCCACUGAACGUGUAGACACUCGAUCCGCGAGAAACUCAGACUCCCAGAGAGUUUGGAGGGGAGAGGAGGAGAGCAACAAGGCAGGAGUCAAGGGGACGGGAGCAAAAGGGAAAAACAAAAAAGGAGGACAAGGGGGGAGGAACAAGAUAAGGCAUGAGGGCGGAAGUGAGAGGAGGAGGUGAGGAGCAGCGGGUGAUGCUGUCAGCAGGUCUGUGUGUGUGUGUGUGUGUGUGUGUCCUGUGCAGAAUGAAGUGUCCCUGUCACAGCCCCAGCUCCCCCUCUGGGCCGCGGCUGAUUAAUUGUCCGUCCAGCUCCAGUGAUGCCGGCCACUUUAACCAAGGCUCCCGAGACGCUCACCCAUGUCCCAUCCGUGCUCAAAGACAGGUCUCGUCCCGUGUCCCCGCGCCCCGCUGCCCUUCUUUGGCUAAAAUUAGGAUAAACUCUCCAUUUCCCCCCCCCCCAUUCUUUUUGGCUCUCCCGCCACGUGUUCCUCCCCCCGUCUCACUCCGGCUGCUACAAAUAAUCUUACAUCAGCACCCCGUUCACCUUGCCGUCGGGGGAUAAUGUCUCUCUGUGGGAGAGGGGUUUUGGUGCAGAGGCGGGGGGGGGGGGGGGGGGGGGGGGGGGGGGGGGGGGGGGGGAUCAGAGCGCAGCGUGACAUGCAGUGUUUACACGUUCACUAGUGACUGGAUGAGAUAAAGGACCCCUCGGUGUCAGGUAAACAGCCCAGCGCAGCGGGGCAAAAUGGCAGGGUUGACUUUGGACCCGGGCUGCACUUAGUCAGCCCUCACGUUUGACUGACAGACACACACCAGACACACACACACACACACACACACACACAGAGUAAGGCUCGCCGUUAUGAUAUCGCCACAAGAACAACAUUUCAAUUAUCGUCACCUUUAAUGUUAGAGGAUUGAGCCUCAUGGUUCAUAUAGUAUUUACCACACACGCAGAAAAAUUAAAUGUCACUCUCAGCAUUGUUCCUUUGUUCCCCUCCUGCUCCUCUAAGCUGCAGAUCCACAGCGUCCGUCCGUCCGUCUGCGUGGCUAUAUAGCCCCCCCCCAAAAGCAGCCAAGGUCAAUUGCCUUCCCUGCUCCUCUCAUCCUGUGCUUUAUGUACCUUCACAUCCGGGGAAAGAGAGCUGCACUAUUUCUGCUCCGCUGCAAGAUUCUGUUCACUCUGAAUGGCUCGAGCCCCCGACUGAACAGCCGAAGCAAAAGGCCGAGGAGGCCGAAGCUGGAGAUGGAUGUUCAGUGACUCACGCCGACGCUGAAGGGACAUGAAUGGCUAUAAUGCGGGGCUUUGAAGAGAUGCUGAUCAAUACUAAUGACUCCAUGAUCACUACAGCAAGCACUAAGGCUAUUCUCAUUUACAAUUCAGCUAAUCCCUGCACAAACAUUUAAGCCAAUAUACAGUAGAUCCAAUAGCAGUUUGUAAAAGUCAGCAACUGUAAACACCUUUACUUGUCACAGCCUGUUUGACUGUGGUUGUUUCUACCGUGUAGCUUGAGCUUCUGAAUAAAUGAUAAU